GACAGAGGAUGCAAGCGUUAUCCGGAAUGAUUGGGCGUAAAGCGUCUGUAGGUGGCUUUUAAGUCCGCCGUCAAAUCCCAGGGCUUCAACCCUGGACAGGCGGUGGAAACUACCAAGCUGGAGUACGGUAGGGGCAGAGGGAAUUUCCGGUGGAGCGGUGAAAUGCGUAGAGAUCGGAAAGAACACCAACGGCGAAAGCAACUCUGCUGGGCCGACACUGACACUGAGAGACGAAAGCUAGGGGAGCGAAUGGGAUUAGAACCUACCGUAGUCAGAUCCGAAGACCAUA
rnacentral:rRNA from 1 species